rnacentral:rRNA from 1 species
CCUACGGGAGGCAGCAGUGAGGAAUAUUGGUCAAUGGGCUUACGCCUGAACCAGCCAAGUCGCGUGAGGGAAGACUGCCCUAUGGGUUGUAAACCUCUUUUGUCAGGGAGCAAUUGGCGCUACGUGUAGCGUUAUCGAGAGUACCUGAAGAAAAAGCAUCGGCUAACUCCGUGCCAGCAGCCGCGGUAAUACGGAGGAUGCGAGCGUUAUCCGGAUUUUUGGGGUUUAAAGGGUGCGUAGGCGGAAUGCCAAGUCAGCGGUAAAAUCGCGGGGCUCAACCUCGCUCCGCCGUUGAAACUGGCGUUCUUGAGUGGGCGGGAAGUAUGCGGAAUGCGUGGUGUAGCGGUGAAAUGCAUAGAUAUCACGCAGAACUCCGAUUGCGAAGGCAGCAUACCGGCGCCCAACUGACGCUGAAGCACGAAAGCGUGGGUAUCGAACAGGAGUAGAUACCCGGGUAGUC